rnacentral:rRNA from 1 species
UACGAAGGGGGCUAGCGUUGUUCGGAAUUACUGGGCGUAAAGGGCGCGUAGGCGGCUUAUCAAGUCAGGCGUGAAAGCCCCGGGCUUAACCUGGGAACUGCGCUUGAGACUGUUAGGCUUGAGUACCGGAGAGGUAGGUGGAAUUCCCAGUGUAGAGGUGAAAUUCGUAGAUAUUGGGAAGAACACCAGUGGCGAAGGCGGCCUACUGGACGGUAACUGACGCUGAGGCGCGAAAGCGUGGGGAGCAAACAGGAUUAGAUACCCUGGUAGUCCACGCCGUAAACGAUGUCGGCUAGACGUUGGGGCUCUUAGACCUUCAGUGUCGCAGCUAACGCAUUAAGCCGACCGCCUGGGGAGUACGGCCGCAAGGUUGAA